AACGUAGGAGGCGAGCGUUAUCCGGAUUUACUGGGCGUAAAGCGCACGCAGGCGGCGGGGCCAGUCGGACGUGAAAGCUCCUGGCUUAACUGGGAGAGGUCGUUCGAUACUGCCCGGCUUGAGGUUGGGAGAGGGGUGCGGAAUUCCCGGUGUAGUGGUGGAAUGCGUAGAUAUCGGGAGGAACACCAGUGGCGAAGGCGGCACCCUGGCCCACACCUGACGCUGAGGUGCGAAAGCGUGGGGAGCAAACAGG
rnacentral:rRNA from 1 species